rnacentral:lncRNA from 1 species
AUCUUGGGUUAGUAAAAAAAUUGAAACUUGAAAGAUGUACUCACGUAUUCGUUUUCGAAAUUUGGAAUUUUUUUAGCCAAAAUAUCUCAAUGUCCUAUAUUUUAGAAAAUAAAAGAUCCGACACUUAAGAUGCAUAACCGUACCCAAGUCCAAACAUCAUAGGUAACUUGAAUCUACGAAAUUCAUCGUUUUAGAUGAUAAGCCAGGGAAUUAAGUUUUAUGCUAAGAUGUACGGAUUGAAAUGUAGUUUGUGACAUUUUUACAGAUUUACAUUAAUAUCUCCUAUAAAGGAGGAUAGAGAACAGCACCAUAAAUUUAAUGCUCCAUAAACUUAAUGCUGCCAACAAUUUUUUCUUUCCGUUAUGAACUAAACAUAGAUAGAGCGUAUAUUUUGACACACAAAGUUCUCUUAUUGCCACUGACUUCAACAUUUCAGUCGCUUAAUUUUUAGACCCAAAGUUGCUUAGCAGCUUAAGUUUUUGGUAACUUGGCGCUGAAAAUUUCAUAUAUUUACCAUUUGAUAAAUUAUAUAAAUGAAGAAAAGAUAAGUUGGUUCGUUUUGGCUAAUGUAACUCGACAAGUGAAAUGUCAAUGGUGACAACUAAGCUACAGCUAAUCAUUUAUCUUGAUCAGAAGGGAAAAGUUAUAUAAUUGUAAAGCAUUGUUGAAAGGUGUUACAGUUGUAUUAGGUUGGCUAUGCCAAAAUUUCUUUAUUUGUCUAAAACUCAAAUAAAUUUGGUAAUGUCAUGGUACUGUGAUUAAAUUGAUUAUACAUUUUGUCAAAACUGACUUCUACAAGUAAAUAAAUCCGAAUUUUGAUGUCAAGUCUCAAUUUAGCGGCAAAUUUAUACUUAUCGAUCAUUUUAUCAUAACAUUUUAUAUUGUUUUAUAAAGUUGUUAGGAGGUAAAUUUAUAUGCAAUUUCUUGUUUCGACCAUAUAUGGAAAAUUUGUUGGGAUUUCCACAUGUGGAUUAUUACAAUUUAUCUUCCUUACACUUUAGUUUUAGUCAUAUAGUAUAGAUAAAUUUUUAAAGCCAGUUGUAAAGCCAGAUGGGUGAUUGCAAAUGCUAAAUGAAGCCAGUAAAUUAAAUGCCACCAUUAUAUUUAAUGUAUCUCAUUUAGUACAUAUUUUUCACACCAUUGAAAAUUUUCAAUUAGUUCUUAUGGUGUGAAAUAAUUAAAUGAUUAGAAACCUUAUUAACUUGAUCUACUAGUGAAAAUAAACCGUUAGAUGUAAAAUUGUAUUAAUGCAGAAAUUAUAGCAAUAAUGACAUACUGAGAUUUGAAAAUGAUAUAUAUUUUUUUUUCAUAUCUAACACUGUGAAAAGAAAAAGAUCAAUGUCUCCUGUUUAAUAUGUUCUGACAAGUGUCUUUUGAUUUAUUGGCAGUCAUUUGCUGAGGGUGACAAAGGCUCAUCAGCAUUUCAUGGAAAUAUUUGGAUUCAAGUUGGUACCAAUCCAUGUGAUGGGAUUGAUAUAAUUUGGUUGGAAGUUGUAAUUAGCGUGAUGAUACCAUGAAUUAAUAACUCAGAGACGUGACCCUCGUAAUCAGUGUGGUGACACAUUGAAUUAAUAGCUCAAAAUCGUGACCCUCAGAAUUUUGAAGUAUUUGAUUGGGUCCUGGACUAUGGCCCACUGCUAUUGGUAUGUACCUUUUGCAAACAA